GCAAGACUCUGCAUCUACAAAAAAGUAAAAAAUUAGCGGGGCGUGGUGGUGCAUCGAGACCCUAUCUCAAAAAAAAAAAAAAGAGAAUGCACAUUUCUAGCCCUACCCCCAAGCACCCAAAUCUUGGAAGAUUCUUGUCUUACCAAAGUCUGAGCACCACUAUGCGAAAUGUUUCUUCCCUACCCCAGUGAUUUUUCUAUUUGCUUUAGGGCUCAAAAGAGUCAUUGCAGUGGUGGGGUCAGCUAUUAACAUCUCUCUUUUCCUGGAAACCAGUUGAUGCCUAUAAGAGGGGUUUCCUCAGCUCUCUGAAUAACUUCAAUUUGUUCUUUUUGGGCCAAGCCCUGUGCUGCCUGGUCCUGCUGAUGAGAGUUCGGCUAGAGGGAGGGGUGGGGAGGGGCCUGAGCUGGGGGACCAGCAGGGGGGCAGCCUGCAGCCCUGAACCCUAAUCCUCGUCACUGUCCCUUCUCUGCCUCAUAAAGGUGUUCUUGCUCUUUCUCCUUUCUAGCCAAGUCUCCUCCCUCCACAUAUGUGUUCUCAUCUAGAUCAGUUUCGAUUCCCGCUGGUGGAAAGCAGCCUCAGGCAGGGCCACUGCGCAGGAAGGGCGGGCCUGGGUGCAGGCGGGGCUCCGGGAGUCACCCCCAGACGCGCGGCUCCCCUUCCUUGUCCUCCGCAUGACGCCCGUGCCGGAGCCCACGUGAGCCUUUGCCAAGGAGAGAUUCAGAGAUAUGAGCAGAAAAACUGGAAGAUGGACUUCUUCAAUAAGGCAGCGGGACGGUUUGGCUGAUGGAAGAUGUUUCCCGGAAGCCUGUUCACGCUCCACCCUGAAAGUCCCAGGGCCGUGAGAGUCAGCCGGGCCGCCGAGGCGGUGCCCUCCAGGCUGCAGGAUGAUCCAGGGACUGUUUUCCUCAGCACUGUGUAGGUUUCAGCUUAUGAGUUCUGUCCAUGUUUUGUGAGAUUUAUAGCUAAGUAUUUACCUUUUCGAAUGAUUAUAAACAACAUAGUAGUUUUAAUUUUAGUGUCUACUUGUUUUUUGUUACUAUAUAGAAAUACAAUCGAUUUUCAUAUAUUUAUGUUGCAUCCUCUGUGCUUCUAAACUCACUAGUUUUGGAAGCUGUUUUUUGUUUUUAGAUUCCUUAAAAUUUUAUAUAUGGGCAAUCAUGUCAUUUAAUAAUCAACCUGUAUGCCUAAAAUAAUCAACCUGUAUGCCUAAAAUAAUCAACCUGUAUGCCUUUUAUUGUAAGAAAAUCCCUAAAUACUGGGAUUACAGGUGGUGAGCCACCGUGUCCAACCUGAAACUUUUUUUUUGGUGAUUUCAAAUGAACUUGACUUUUACUGUAAUUAUACCUAAAGUAUUUGUAAACAAUUGUUUAGAACUUCUAUUUGUCAUGGACUUUUGAGUUUAUUCUUUGGAUCAUAUAAAAAGACUUUUUUUUUUUGUUUUUAAAGUUAUAAAUCUCUGUAUGCACUUUGC
rnacentral:lncRNA from 10 species